rnacentral:rRNA from 1 species
GAUGAACGCUGGCGGCGGGCCUAACACAUGCAAGUCGAGCGGAUUAUUCAUUGUAGCAAUACAGUGAGUAGUCAGCGGCGCAAGGGUGCGUAACACGUGGGCAACCUGCCCGGAAGUGGGGGAUAGCUCGCCGAAAGGCGAAUUAAUACCGCAUGUGGCUAGAGGUGACAUCACCUUGAGGCCAAAGUUGGGGCAACCUGACGCUUCUGGAUGGGCCCGCGGCCUAUCAGCUAGUUGGUGAGGUAACGGCUCACCAAGGCUGUGACGGGUAGCUGGUCUGAGAGGACGACCAGCCACACUGGAACUGAGACACGGUCCAGACACCUACGGGUGGCAGCAGUCGAGAAUUUUUCUCAAUGGGGGAAACCCUGAAGGAGCGACGCCGCGUGGAGGAUGAAGGUCUUCGGAUUGUAAACUCCUGUCAUUGGUGAACAAAGCCCUCGGAGUAACUGCCGUUGGGUUUGAUAGUAGCCGAAGAGGAAGGGACGGCUAACUCUGUGCCAGCCGCCGCAGUAA